CCGGCAACGUCGUCUCGGGGUCAGACGAUACACCCGGGAGGCCUAACUUCCAGUCACCAGAACGGGCUCCCACGCUAGGGGGUCGGCCUCGGGCGGCGGCAGCAGCUUCAACAAGGCACACGCCAAUAACGCCCAGCUCAGUGGCCUCCUGGGGCAGCUCUCGACCUCCAACACUGGAGCCGUCUCGCAUCAGAGCGGUGGGGGAGGCAAAUAUUGGUAGUUAACAGCUGGCAAUCACAACCAGCACCAGACAAGCGCUCGAUACUGCUAACCAGCAGUCGAUCAAGAGCAAGAUCCGGUCGGCGGAGGGCAUAGCUUAUCAAAAGUGGGCUUUGAACACCAAUCCCUCCGUGGAAAUGACGCGUUUCUGCGCACAUUCGAGCCUCUGCUUCAUGUGAUGUCAACUCGUAUCAGCUUGCUGAGGAAUACAUGAUGGAUGAGUCUA